CCUACGGGUGGCAGCAGUGAGGAAUAUUGGUCAAUGGACGAUAGUCUGAACCAGCCAAGUAGCGUGAAGGAUGACUGCCCUAUGGGUUGUAAACUUCUUUUAUAUGGGAAUAAAACGUUCCACGUGUGGGAUUUUGUAUGUACCAUAUGAAUAAGGAUCGGCUAACUCCGUGCCAGCAGCCGCGGUAAUACGGAGGAUCCGAGCGUUAUCCGGAUUUAUUGGGUUUAAAGGGAGCGUAGGUGGAUUGUUAAGUCAGUUGUGAAAGUUUGCGGCUCAACCGUAAAAUUGCAGUUGAAACUGGCAGUCUUGAGUACAGUAGAGGUGGGCGGAAUUCGUGGUGUAGCGGUGAAAUGCUUAGAUAUCACGAAGAACUCCGAUUGCGAAGGCAGUUCACUGGACUGCAACUGACACUGAGGCUCGAAAGUGUGGGUAUCAAACAGGAUUAGAUACCCUAGUAGUC
rnacentral:rRNA from 1 species